CGACAGGAAGAGCAGCAUUCAGGUGCUGAGGUAGGGCAUCCUUCCAACCCUAGGCCUGUUCAAGGGCCAGCAACUCCUUUCCAUUGACUCUGGGAUUCAAAGCCGAGUCCUUCCCAGGGAGCAGGAGUCCAUGUCUUACGAGUGUCAUACUAUUGCUGGCAUGGUGGAUGGUGGGUUCAAGUCCCAGGUGGCCCUCAGCCUAGGUGGGGAUGUGAGUUAUCAGAAGCUUGUCA